rnacentral:rRNA from 1 species
UCUUGACAUCCAGCGAACUUUCCAGAGAUGGAUUGGUGCCUUCGGGAACGCUGAGACAGGUGCUGCAUGGCUGUCGUCAGCUCGUGUUGUGAAAUGUUGGGUUAAGUCCGCAACGAGCGCAACCCUUAUCCUUUGUUGCCAGCGAUUCGGUCGGGAACUCAAAGGAGACUGCCGGUGAUAAACCGGAGGAAGGUGGGGAUGACGUCAAGUCAUCAUGGCCCUUACGAGUAGGGCUACACACGUGCUACAAUGGCGCAUACAAAGAGAAGCGACCUCGCGAGAACAAGCGGACCUCAUAAAGUGCGUCGUAGUCCGGAUCGGAGUCUGCAACUCGACUCCGUGAAGUCGGAAUCGCUAGUAAUCGUGGAUCAGAAUGCCACGGUGAAUACGUUCCCGGGCCUUGUACACACCGCCCGUCACACCAUGGGAGUGGGUUGCAAAAGAAGUAGGUAGCUUAACCUUCGGGAGGGCGCUUACCACUUUGUGAUUCAUGACUGGGGUGAAGUCGUAACAAGGUAGGCGUAGCGAG